CUGGAGGACCGAACCGACUAAUGUUGAAAAAUUAGCGGAUGACCUGUGGCUGGGGGUGAAAGGCCAAUCAAACCGGGAGAUAGCUGGUUCUCCCCGAAAGCUAUUUAGGUAGCGCCUCGUGAAUUCAUCUCCGGGGGUAGAGCACUGUUUCGGCUAGGGGGCCAUCCCGGCUUACCAACCCGAUGCAAACUGCGAAUACCGGAGAAUGUUAUCACGGGAGACACACGGCGGGUGCUAACGUCCGUCGUGAAGAGGGAAACAACCCAGACCGCCAGCUAAGGUCCCAAAGUCAUGGUUAAGUGGGAAACGAUGUGGGAAGGCCCAGACAGCCAGGAUGUUGGCUUAGAAGCAGCCAUCAUUUAAAGAAAGCGUAAUAGCUCACUGGUCGAGUCGGCCUGCGCGGAAGAUGUAACGGGGCUAAACCAU
rnacentral:rRNA from 1 species